rnacentral:rRNA from 1 species
GAUGAACGCUGGCGGCGUGCUUAACACAUGCAAGUCGAACGGAGUGCCUUAGAAAGAGGAUUCGUCCAAUUGAUAAGGUUACUUAGUGGCGGACGGGUGAGUAACGCGUGAGGAACCUGCCUCGGAGUGGGGAAUAACAGACCGAAAGGCCUGCUAAUACCGCAUGAUGCAGUUGGACCGCAUGGUCCUGACUGCCAAAGAUUUAUCGCUCUGAGAUGGCCUCGCGUCUGAUUAGCUUGUUGGCGGGGUAAUGGCCCACCAAGGCGACGAUCAGUAGCCGGACUGAGAGGUUGGCCGGCCACAUUGGGACUGAGACACGGCCCAG